ACAUGUCAAGUACCCUUUUAUUUGGCUACGACACAAUCAAAACACAUUUGCAAAUAUCAAACCUGUAGAAAACAGGUAAAACUUAAUACUAAGCCAAGGGUCUAAUGGACACAAAGUUUAAGUCUUUCGGCAAUGCCAAUCUACCUUGGCUACAAAAUGGCUAUAAUUUACCAAUCAGCCACGUUUGUUACCACAGUGUGUAUAUGUGAAAUGCUGUUGGACUAGCACAAUUAACUAAAGCAUCAACAUCAAACAGCAAAUUCUCUGAGCUUCUUGAUUUUCAGCUAAAGACAGCAUGUAUUAAUAGAUUAAGGCUAUGGGAUUCCUCUGCAAAUUCAUCGCUACAGUGGAGGAGAAGGGGAAAGAAGACUUCUAAUCCCUGGGUGAAAGAGCUGUGAACAACAUCCUCUGCACGUCACCUAAUGAAGCUGUUCCCCUCCCCCUAUACAACAACAAAUUUAACACAAUUGCCCCAGGUGUGAACAAACCAGUUGAGACAGGUAUAGCUGACGUGAAAAUACUUCCAAAAUCCUAACCACUAUCUUUAAAACAAGUAAUACUACCAAUCUUAUUACAGGCUAAGGAAGACACUAUGUUUCUCCUCUAAGGAUUCUAUCUUCUUCCUGAAAGGAAGCAAACUUCUCUUGACUAUAACAUUCAGCUGCACAAGGCAAGAAAACAUUCACAGUUUAGACCACACCUUGCAAGCCCUGCGGGUCUCUCCAACUCCACCCUGCUGGUCUGGCUCACAGAAGACUCUCCUCCCUCCUGUAAGCAGCGCACCUCGGCUGCCCUACAUAUUCUCUGCUACAGCUCUUCUCCUCACCAUGUCAUUAAGUCUCCAUUAAUUCAAACACUCUGUAAGGGUUUGGCAUUCACUUAUUUGUAACUUCACACAGGAUCUAGGUCAUUGCUUCACAGACUACAUCUGUUACCUGAUCGAAAAUCUUAAUAGAAAAGUCAAAAAGUUUAGAGCAGGGUACCGAAAUAAUUGAAAUAACUCCACACUAGGAAAGACUACCAAACACACACAAAAAAGAUGCUCAAUAAAUAACUCUUCAAUCUCUUUAUAAAUAAA